rnacentral:rRNA from 1 species
UACGUAGGGGGCUAGCGUUGUCCGGAAUCAUUGGGCGUAAAGCGCGUGUAGGCGGCCCGGUAAGUCCGCUGUGAAAGUCGGGGGCUCAACCCUCGAAAGCCGGUGGAUACUGUCGGGCUCGAGUACGGAAGAGGAGAGUGGAAUUCCUGGUGUAGCGGUGAAAUGCGCAGAUAUCAGGAAGAACACCAAUGGCGAAGGCAGCUCUCUGGGACGGUACUGACGCUGAGACGCGAAAGCGUGGGGAGCGAACAGG